rnacentral:rRNA from 1 species
AUACAACGAAGAGUUUGAUCCUGGCUCAGGAUGAACGCUAGCGACAGGCCUAACACAUGCAAGUCGAGGGGCGGCACGGUGUAGCAAUACACUGGGGGCGACCGGCGCACGGGUGCGUAACGCGUAUGCA